AACGCUGGCGGCGUGCUUAACACAUGCAAGUCGAACGAAGCAUCCUCCCGAAGAAGCGGAAGUGCUUGCACAGAAGUGGAUUCAUUUGGGAUGACUUAGUGGCGGACGGGUGAGUAACGCGUGGGCAACCUGCCCUAGUAGAGGGGGACAACAGUUAGAAAUGACUGCUAAUACCGCAUAGUAAUGCAGAUCCGCAUGCUUCUGCAUUGAAAGCUUUUUGCGCUAUAGGAUGGGCCCGCGUUUGAUUAGCUAGUUGGUGAGGUAACGGCCCACCAAGGCGACGAUCAAUAGCCGGCUUGAGAGAGUGAACGGCCACAUUGGGACUGAGACACGGCCCAAACUCCUACGGGAGGCAGCAGUGGGGAAUAUUGCACAAUGGGGGAAACCCUGAUGCAAGCGACGCCGCGUGAGUGAAGAAGUAUUUCGGUAUGUAAAGCUCUAUCAGCAGGAAAGAUAAUGACGGUACCUGACUAAGAAGCCCCGGCUAACUACGUGCCAGCCGCCGC
rnacentral:rRNA from 1 species